rnacentral:lncRNA from 10 species
ACAAGCAGCUUUGCUUUUCCAUGAUCAAGCUGCUAGAGAUUUUGGGGUGAGGGAGCGAAAUGAAGGCUAAAUAAAAGAACCGGAGAUAAGAUAAUCCUGCCAUGUUAAAAGAUAUGGUGUAAUAAAGAUGCCAACCUGAUUGAUCAGGAGACUGGGGUCCUAGAGUGCCGGAGUUCAACAGCUCUGCUCCUUGUUGGGACACAGUGGGGGAAAUCUGAACAAAGACAGACGGAGAGGAUGCUGUGCGACAAUGGAAGCAGAGAUUGGAGUGAUACACCUACAAACAAAGGAAUCCGAAAGACUGCUGGCAAUUGCCAGAGACUAGGACAGAGGGAUGGUACAGAUUCUCCCUCAGUGCCUCCAGAAGGAACCAAUCCUGCCGAAACCUUGAUUUUGGACUUUCAGCUUCCAGAAACAGAAUUUUGAAAUUGCCUGGUGGACUAGAAAUGAAGCAAAACACAGAAAAACCUGAGAUGAAAGAUGGAGAGUGCUUAAGGGGAACUAGUACUGGCUUCCAUGCCCAGCUGCA